AACGAACGCUGGCGGCAGGCUUAACACAUGCAAGUCGAGCGCCCCGCAAGGGGAGCGGCAGACGGGUGAGUAACGCGUGGGAACGUACCUUUUGGUUCGGAACAACUCCGGGAAACUGGAGCUAAUACCGGAUAAGCCCUAACGGGGAAAGAUUUAUCGCCGAAAGAUCGGCCCGCGUCUGAUUAGCUAGUUGGUGAGGUAACGGCUCACCAAGGCGACGAUCAGUAGCUGGUCUGAGAGGAUGAUCAGCCACACUGGGACUGAGACACGGCCCAGACUCCUACGGGAGGCAGGAGGGGGGGAUAUUUGACCAUGGGGGGCAGGCUGAUCCCGGCCUGCCGGGGGAGGGAUGGAGGCCUUAGGGUUGGAAAGCCUUUUUGUCCCGGAAGGAAAUGACUGUACCGGAAGAAUAAGCCCCGGCUAACUUCGUG
rnacentral:rRNA from 1 species